UGAUUUCAACAAUGAAGCGAGUGGCGAACUGGUGAGUAACACGUGGGGGAAUCUGCCCAGAAGCAGGGGGAUAACACUUGGAAACAGGUGCUAGUACCGUAUAACAACUUGGACCGCAUGGUCCGAGUUUGAAAGAUGGCUUCGGCUAUCACUUUUGGAUGGUCCCGCGGCGUAUUAGCUAGAUGGUGAGGUAACGGCUCACCAAGGCAGUGAUACGUAGCCGACCUGAGAGGGUAAUCGGCCACAUUGGGACUGAGACACGGCCCAGACUCC
rnacentral:rRNA from 1 species